rnacentral:rRNA from 1 species
UACGAAGGGGGCUAGCGUUGUUCGGAAUUACUGGGCGUAAAGCGCGCGCAGGCGGUUCUCCAAGUCAGUGGUGAAAGCCCGGAGCUCAACUCCGGAACUGCCAUUGAAACUGUUGAACUUGAGGACGAGAGAGGUGAGUGGAAUUCCCAGUGUAGAGGUGAAAUUCGUAGAUAUUGGGAAGAACACCGGUGGCGAAGGCGGGUCUCUGGGCCGAUACUGACGCUGAGGCACGAAGGUCAGGGGAGCAAACGGG